CAAUAGCGUAUAUUAAAGUUGUUGACGGUUAAAAAGCUCGUAGUUGGAUUUCUGCCGAGGACGACCGGUCCGCCCUCUGGGUGAGCAUCUGGGACGGCCUGGGCAUCUUCUUGGGGAACGUAGCUGCACUUGACUGUGUGGUGCGGUAUCCAGGACUUUUACUUUGAGGAAAUUAGAGUGUUUCAAGCAGGCGCACGCCUUGAAUACAUUAGCAUGGAAUAAUAAGAUAGGACCUCGGUUCUAUUUUGUUGGUUUCUAGAACUAAGGUAAUGAUUAAUAGGGAUAAUUGGGGGCGAUUUGUAUUGACACGUCAGAGGUGAAAUUACUUGGAUUGUGUUACGACAAACUAACUGCGAAAGACAUUUGUCCAAGG
rnacentral:rRNA from 1 species